GCAUAUCAUAAGCGGAGGAAAAGAAACCACAGGGAUUGCCCCAGUAACGGCGAGUGAAGCGGCAACAGCUCAAAUUUGAAAUCUGGUCCCCCCGCGGGGCCCGAGUUGUAAUUUGAAGAGGAUGCUUCUGGCAAGGUGCCGUCCGAGUUCCCUGGAACGGGACGCCGCAGAGGGUGAGAGCCCCGUACGGUCGGACGCCGAGCCUCUGUGAAGCUCCUUCGACGAGUCGAGUAGUUUGGGAAUGCUGCUCAAAAUGGGAAGGUAAACCCCUUCUAAAGCUAAAUACCGGCCAGAGACCGAUAGCGCACAAGUAGAGUGAUCGAAAGAUGAAAAGCACUUUGAAAAGAGAGUUAAAAAGCACGUGAAAUUGUUGAAAGGGAAGCGCUUGCGACCAGACUCGCGCCCGUCGGAUCAGCCGUCGCUCGUCGGCGGCGCACUCCGGCGGGCUCGGGCCAGCAUCAGUUCGCCUCGGGGGGAGAAAGGCGGCGGGAAUGUGGCUCUACGGAGUGUUAUAGCCCGCCGCGUAAUACCCCCGGGCGGACUGAGGACCGCGCGUAUGCAAGGAUGCUGGCGUAAUGGUCGUCAGCGACCCGUCUUGAAACACGGACCAAGGAGUCGUCCUAAUAUGCGAGUGUACGGGUGUCAAACCCCUGCGCGUAAUGAAAGUGAACGGAGGUGAGAGCUUCGGCGCAUCAUCGACCGAUCCUGAUGUUCUCGGAUGGAUUUGAGUAAGAGCAUAUUGGGCCGGACCCGAAAGAAGGUGAACUAUGCCUGUGUAGGGUAAAGCCAGAGGAAACUCUGGUGGAGGCUCGCAGCGGUUCUGACGUGCAAAUCGAUCGUCAAACAUGGGCAUGGGGGGCGAAAGACUAAUCGAACCUUCUAGUAGCUGGUUUCCGCGA
rnacentral:rRNA from 1 species